rnacentral:rRNA from 1 species
UGCAGAAUCCCGCGAACCAUCGAGUCUUUGAACGCAAGUUGCGCCUGCCGCCACUUGGCCAAGGGCACGCCUGCUUGGGCGUCACGCCAAACACGCUCCCACCACUCAUCGGGAAGUGGGAUGUGGCAUGUGGCCUCCCGUUUUACAUGGUGCGGUGGGCCUAAGAUGUGGCUGCCGGCCUAUCGUGCCGGACACAGCGCGUGGUGGGCGAUCUUGCUUUACUUACCGCAGUGCGUACGGACCGUAGCCGAUGUUAUGGCCUAAAGGACCCAAAGAACGGUGUGCUUUACGCUUCGACCGCGACCCCAAGUCAGGCGGGACUACCCGCUGAGUUUAAGCAUAUAAAUAAGCGGUGGAGAAGAAACUUACAAGGAUUCCCCUAGUAACGGCGAGCGAACCGGGAUCAGCCCAGCUUGAGAAUCGGGCGACCUUGCUGUCCGA